GACGUAGGGCGCGAGCGUUGUCCGGAUUUAUUGGGCGUAAAGAGCUCGUAGGCGGCUUGUCGCGUCGUCCGUGAAAACCCACAGCUCAACUGUGGGCUUGCGGUCGAUACGGGCAUCACUGGAGUUCGGCAGGGGAGACUGGAAUUCCUGGUGUAGCGGUGAAAUGCGCAGAUAUCAGGAAGAACACCAACGGCGAAGGCAGCUCGCUGGGACGGAACUGACGCUAAGGCGCGAAAGCGUGGGGAGCGAACAGG
rnacentral:rRNA from 1 species